rnacentral:rRNA from 1 species
UGAGGAAUAUUGGUCAAUGGGCGGGAGCCUGAACCAGCCAAGCCGCGUGAGGGAAGAAGGCCCUAUGGGUCGUAAACCUCUUUUGUCAGGGAACAAAAGCGAGUAUGUAUACUGGUCUGAGUGUACCUGAAGAAAAAGCAUCGGCUAACUCCGUGCCAGCAGCCGCGGUAAUACGGAGGAUGCGAGCGUUAUCCGGAUUUAUUCGGUUUAAAGGGUGCGUAGGCGGCGGUGCAAGUCAGCGGUAAAAGCCCGGGGCUCAACCCCGGCGAGCCGUUGAAACUGCAGUGCUAGAGAAGGCGAGAGGUACGCGGAAUGCGCAGUGUAGCGGUGAAAUGCUUAGAUAUUGCGCAGAACUCCGAUUGCGAAGGCAGCGUACUGGCGCCUGACUGACGCUGAGGCACGAAAGCGUGGGGAUCGAACAGGAUUAGAUACCC